rnacentral:rRNA from 1 species
UACGUAGGGUGCGAGCGGUAAUCGGAAUUACUGGGCGUAAAGCGUGCGCAGGCGGCUUUGCAAGACAGAUGUGAAAUCCCCGGGCUCAACCUGGGAACUGCAUUUGUGACUGCAAGGCUAGAGUACGGCAGAGGGGGAGGGAAUUCCGCGUGUAGCAGUGAAAUGCGUAGAUAUGCGGAGGAACACCAAUGGCGAAGGCAAUCCCCUGGGCCUGUACUGACGCUCAUGCACGAAAGCGUGGGGAGCAAACAGG